rnacentral:lncRNA from 1 species
GGCAGGGAGACAGAAUGAAAAGCCUGAGAAAACACAAUAAGGCAGCUACCAGGAGGCAGCCUGAACGUGUCAGGGCCUGGGCACGACACUUGCCUUUCUUGGAGGAGUGAUUUGAAGCCAUAGUGGAAGACUGAGCCUCUAUAAAAAAUGAACGAGGACACUCUUAAUGGACAGAUACAAAACAAGCCCCAGGAGAAAGGUGUAUCAACCAUUUUAAAUCUGCCCUCAAAAGCACAGAACAAAUCAGACAGCAUUUUGCUCACAGAGGAGAGGGUGUAUGAGAACCAAAUUCCAGCUUCAGCACAUGGCCUUGGGUACAGCUACAAGAUGGAGGAAGCUAUUUGACCUGCAUCAGACUUUACGUGAACAAAAGGGUGUUGUUAUGUCCAAAGCCAUCUUGCCAUGCGCAGCCUGAGAAUGGAGCCAAUGACUGAGGGUGGCAGAGCAGAAAGAUGGUAAGAGUCUGAAUCUGUAAUAACUGGGCUGGCCACUGAACCUGUCUACCCAACCCUCUUCCCCUUGGGGAUUACAGUUAUCCCCAUCAAUGAAUUUUUAAAAAUUGUUUAAGGGUAUUUGAAUCUGGUUUCUAUGACUUGAAGCCAAA